AUUGAACGCUGGCGGCAGGCCUAACACAUGCAAGUCGAACGGUAACAGGAAACAGCUUGCUGUUUCGCUGACGAGUGGCGGACGGGUGAGUAAUGUCUGGGAAACUGCCUGAUGGAGGGGGAUAACUACUGGAAACGGUAGCUAAUACCGCAUAACGUCGCAAGAUCAAAGAGGGGGACCUUCGGGCCUCUUGCCAUCGGAUGUGCCCAGAUGGGAUUAGCUAGUAGGUGGGGUAACGGCUCACCUAGGCGACGAUCCCUAGCUGGUCUGAGAGGAUGACCAGCCACACUGGAACUGAGACACGGUCCAGACUCCUACGGGAGGCAGCAGUGGGGAAUAUUGCACAAUGGGCGCAAGCCUGAUGCAGCCAUGCCGCGUGUAUGAAGAAGGCCUUCGGGUUGUAAAGUACUUUCAGCGGGGAGGAAGGGAGUAAAGUUAAUACCUUUACUCAUUGACGUUACCCGCAGAAGAAGCACCGGCUAACUCCGUG
rnacentral:rRNA from 1 species